rnacentral:rRNA from 1 species
UACGUAGGGGGCAAGCGUUGUCCGGAUUUAUUGGGCGUAAAGAGCGUGUAGGCGGCUUGGUAGGUCCGCUGUGAAAACUCGAGGCUCAACCUCGAGAUGUCAUCGGAAACCAUCUGGCUAGAGUCCGGAAGAGGAGAGUGGAAUUCCUGGUGUAGCGGUGAAAUGCGCAGAUAUCAGGAAGAACACCAAUGGCGAAAGCAGCUCUCUGGGACGGUACUGACGCUGAGACGCGAAAGCGUGGGGAGCGAACAGG